rnacentral:rRNA from 1 species
UACGUAGGGCGCAAGCGUUGUCCGGAAUUAUUGGGCGUAAAGAGCUCGUAGGUGGUUUGUCGCGUCUGCCGUGAAAGCCCCGGGCUCAACCUGGGAAUUGCAUUUGAGACUGCGUAGCUAGGGUGCGGAAGAGGGAAGCGGAAUUUCCGGUGUAGCGGUGAAAUGCGUAGAUAUCGGAAGGAACACCAGUGGCGAAAGCGGCUUCCUGGUCCAGCACCGACGUUCAGGCACGAAAGCGUGGGGAGCAAACAGG